UACGGAGGAUCCGAGCGUUAUCCGGAUUUAUUGGGUUUAAAGGGUGCGUAGGCGGACUGGUAAGUCAGUGGUGAAAUCCUGCAGCUUAACUGUAGAAUUGCCGUUGAUACUGUUAGUCUUGAGUACAUUUGAGGUAGGCGGAAUGUGGUGUGUAGCGGUGAAAUGCAUAGAUAUACCACAGAACACCGAUUGCGAAGGCAGCUUACUAAACUGUAACUGACGCUGAGGCACGAAAGCGUGGGUAUCAAACAGGAUUAGAUACC
rnacentral:rRNA from 1 species